GACGAACGCUGGCGGCGUGCUUAACACAUGCAAGUCGAACGGAAAGGCCCCUUUGGGGGUACUCGAGUGGCGAACGGGUGAGUAACACGUGAGUAACCUGCCCUUGACUUCGGGAUAACUUCAGGAAACUGGGGCUAAUACCGGAUAGGAAUCCUUGCUGCAUGGUGGGGGUUGGAAAGCUUCGGCGGUUUUGGAUGGACUCGCGGCUUAUCAGCUUGUUGGUGGGGUAGUGGCUUACCAAGGCUUUGACGGGUAGCCGGCCUGAGAGGGCGACCGGCCACAUUGGGGCUGGGAUACGGCCCAGACUCCUACGGGAGGCAGCAGUGGGGAAUGUUGCACAAUGGGCGGAAGCCUGAUGCAGCAACGCCGCGUGCGGGAUGACGGCCUUCGGGUUGUAAGCCGCUUUCAGCAGGGGCGAAGCUUGUGGUGACGGUACCUGCAGAAGAAGCACCGGCUAACUACGUG
rnacentral:rRNA from 1 species